rnacentral:rRNA from 1 species
GAUGAACGCUGGCGGCGUGCCUAAUACAUGCGAGUCGAGCGAACAGAUGAGGAGCUUGCUCCUCUGACGUUAGCGGCGGACGGGUGAGUAACACGUGGAUAACCUACCUAUAAGACUGGGAUAACUUCGGGAAACCGGAGCUAAUACCGGAUAAUAUAUUGAACCGCAUGGUUCAAUAGUGAAAGACGGUUUUGCUGUCACUUAUAGAUGGAUCCGCGCCGCAUUAGCUAGUUGGUAAGGUAACGGCUUACCAAGGCAACGAUGCGUAGCCGACCUGAGAGGGUGAUCGGCCACACUGGAACUGAGACACGGUCCAGACUCCUACGGGAGGCAGCAGUAGGGAAUCUUCCGCAAUGGGCGAAAGCCUGACGGAGCAACGCCGCGUGAGUGAUGAAGGUCUUCGGAUCGUAAAACUCUGUUAUUAGGGAAGAACAAAUGUGUAAGUAACUAUGCACGUCUUGACGGUACCUAAUGAGAAAGCCACGGCUAACUACGUG